GAGUGGAACUGGAGGAGCUUUAAGGUCCUUUCCAACACAAACCAUUCCAGGAUUCUGUGGACAGAGAUCCGAUGGUCCAAGGCAUCAGCUUCUGGAGUCAACAGGGAUUAGACUAUCGAGGGCAAUGUGCCGUGCUUGCGGAGAGGUGACAUUGAAACACAUCCACUUGUCUUAUUGCAGUAAAUCAAGGUUUAAGUUCGCUCAUUCCUGGAGCAAUAAAUCACAUCCCGCUUUGAAGAAACAGCCUCUACACCGCGACACAUCUCUACUAAACCCAAGGCAGCCAUUCCCGAGUUCAAUCCCUGCUGAUGCUGUUGAAGCAGUCAUGAGAGAUCCCUGUGAUGUAAUACCUGGGAAUGCAGGAACUCCUGAAUUCCACCCCAAGCAAGGCCUUUCUCCCAGUGGGAGGCCUCAGCAGGGCCCUCAGCAAGGACAGCAGCACAAUCAGCCUGGUAACUGCAGCAAGGAGGUUCUCCUCCACAUCUGAGGAUAAAUAAGGAGAGGCUAGAGCAGCACCAACACCUUUGCCCCAACAAUGGGAGCAUGAGUCACUCCUGGCUUUCCUUACUUUUUCAUUUACAUGCCACAGCUCAUACCCUGCUGCAGUGUUUCAGGGAUGUUUCGGAGCCGCUCAUUAACAUCACAUCUCUGUUUGUAGCUGCACCUCUGACCAUAUGAACUAUUAAAGCUGUUCCAGGACUGCUCGAACUUACCCCCCAGAAACUGCAAAAGGAACCAAGCAAAAUCCCCUUCAACUCACUGGUGAGACCAGUGUCAGGCACAGCCACUAUCGAGUGCUAGAGGAGAAACAACAGAACUGGCAUUUGCCAGUACAAUGUCCUUGGACUCUAACUCCUGCAAUCACUGUGUUCACAAACACUGAACGGGCAACACAAGGGCACAGAGUUUUCCAAGAGGAAUUCAACCAAAAUACUCUCAUGCUACAGCAGCUUGUCCCUUGUCCAAGGGGAAUACAGCAAACAGAGCGCACUUCAGUCAGACUGACGGGCCCUGGAAUGAGCCAUGUAAAAGGUGCACUGAAGUGCCAGACAUCACAGAAAAUGCCACUGCAGGACAGACACAAACCCUUUGCAGAUGGAGAGCUGUGAGUCCACAGGGUACAUCAUGGAAUGCUCUGGUUUGGUUUGGAAAGGACCUUAAAGCUCACCCACUCCCAAGCCCCUGCCACGGGCAGGGACACCUUCCACUAGAGCAGGUUGCUCCAAGCCCCGUCCAAGCUGCUACCUGGAUACAGAAUAACAGAUUAAAAGGAUGGGAAGGAGCUAAAGAUGACCCUGAAGUGGGGGUAUUUAUCAGAAAAACGGAGGCUAUUUCUUUUCUAAACUGACCUUACAACAUGAGGACACACAGAGUCUGCUGGAAAUCCUGCAAUAAGAGAGCAGAAGUUCU